AGCGAACGCUGGCGGCAUGCUUAACACAUGCAAGUCGCGCGGGUGGUUUCGGCCAUCAGCGGCGGACGGGUGAGUAUCGCGUAGGAAUGUAUCCCGAGGUGGGGGACAACCCUGGGAAACUGGGGCUAAUACCGCAUGGGGCCUGUGGGUCAAAGCCUUAGGGCGCCUUGGGAGCAGCCUGCGUCCGAUUAGGUAGUUGGUGGGGUAAAGGCCUACCAAGCCUGCGAUCGGUAGCUGGUCUGAGAGGACGAUCAGCCACACUGGGACUGAGACACGGCCCCGACUCCUACGGGAAGCAGCAGUGGGGAAUAUUGGACAAAUGGCGCCAGCCUGAUCCAGCAAUGCCGCGUGGGUGAAGAAGGUCUUCGGAUUGUAAAGCCCUUUCGGCGGGGACGAUGAUGACGGUACCCGCAGAAGAAGCCCCGGCUAACUUCGUG
rnacentral:rRNA from 1 species